rnacentral:rRNA from 1 species
AGCGUACACGGUGGAUGCCCUGGCAGUCAGAGGCGAUGAAGGACGUGCUAAUCUGCGAUAAGCGUCGGUAAGGUGAUAUGAACCGUUAUAACCGGCGAUUUCCGAAUGGGGAAACCCAGUGUGUUUCGACACACUAUCAUUAACUGAAUCCAUAGGUUAAUGAGGCGAACCGGGGGAACUGAAACAUCUAAGUACCCCGAGGAAAAGAAAUCAACCGAGAUUCCCCCAGUAGCGGCGAGCGAACGGGGAGCAGCCCAGAGCCUGAAUCAGUGUGUGUGUUAGUGGAAGCGUCUGGAAAGGCGCGCGAUACAGGGUGACAGCCCCGUACACAAAAAUGCACAUGCUGUGAGCUCGAUGAGUAGGGCGGGACACGUGGUAUCCUGUCUGAAUAUGGGGGGACCAUCCUCCAAGGCUAAAUACUCCUGACUGACCGAUAGUGAACCAGUACCGUGAGGGAAAGGCGAAAAGAACCCCGGCGAGGGGAGUGAAAAAGAACCUGAAACCGUGUACGUACAAGCAGUGGGAGCACGCUUAGGCGUGUGACUGCGUACCUUUUGUAUAAUGGGUCAGCGACUUAUAUUCUGUAGCAAGGUUAACCGAAUAGGGGAGCCGAAGGGAAACCGAGUCUUAACUGGGCGUUAAGUUGCAGGGUAUAGACCCGAAACCCGGUGAUCUAGCCAUGGGCAGGUUGAAGGUUGGGUAACACUAACUGGAGGACCGAACCGACUAAUGUUGAAAAAUUAGCGGAUGACUUGUGGCUGGGGGUGAAAGGCCAAUCAAACCGGGAGAUAGCUGGUUCUCCCCGAAAGCUAUUUAGGUAGCGCCUCGUGAAUUCAUCUCCGGGGGUAGAGCACUGUUUCGGCAAGGGGGUCAUCCCGACUUACCAACCCGAUGCAAACUGCGAAUACCGGAGAAUGUUAUCACGGGAGACACACGGCGGGUGCUAACGUCCGUCGUGAAGAGGGAAACAACCCAGACCGCCAGCUAAGGUCCCAAAGUCAUGGUUAAGUGGGAAACGAUGUGGGAAGGCCCAGACAGCCAGGAUGUUGGCUUAGAAGCAGCCAUCAUUUAAAGAAAGCGUAAUAGCUCACUGGUCGAGUCGGCCUGCGCGGAAGAUGUAACGGGGCUAAACCAUGCACCGAAGCUGCGGCAGCGACGCUUAUGCGUUGUUGGGUAGGGGAGCGUUCUGUAAGCCUGCGAAGGUGUGCUGUGAGGCAUGCUGGAGGUAUCAGAAGUGCGAAUGCUGACAUAAGUAACGAUAAAGCGGGUGAAAAGCCCGCUCGCCGGAAGACCAAGGGUUCCUGUCCAACGUUAAUCGGGGCAGGGUGAGUCGACCCCUAAGGCGAGGCCGAAAGGCGUAGUCGAUGGGAAACAGGUUAAUAUUCCUGUACUUGGUGUUACUGCGAAGGGGGGACGGAGAAGGCUAUGUUGGCCGGGCGACGGUUGUCCCGGUUUAAGCGUGUAGGCUGGUUUUCCAGGCAAAUCCGGAAAAUCAAGGCUGAGGCGUGAUGACGAGGCACUACGGUGCUGAAGCAACAAAUGCCCUGCUUCCAGGAAAAGCCUCUAAGCAUCAGGUAACAUCAAAUCGUACCCCAAACCGACACAGGUGGUCAGGUAGAGAAUACCAAGGCGCUUGAGAGAACUCGGGUGAAGGAACUAGGCAAAAUGGUGCCGUAACUUCGGGAGAAGGCACGCUGAUAUGUAGGUGAAGUCCCUCGCGGAUGGAGCUGAAAUCAGUCGAAGAUACCAGCUGGCUGCAACUGUUUAUUAAAAACACAGCACUGUGCAAACACGAAAGUGGACGUAUACGGUGUGACGCCUGCCCGGUGCCGGAAGGUUAAUUGAUGGGGUUAGCCGCAAGGCGAAGCUCUUGAUCGAAGCCCCGGUAAACGGCGGCCGUAACUAUAACGGUCCUAAGGUAGCGAAAUUCCUUGUCGGGUAAGUUCCGACCUGCACGAAUGGCGUAAUGAUGGCCAGGCUGUCUCCACCCGAGACUCAGUGAAAUUGAACUCGCUGUGAAGAUGCAGUGUACCCGCGGCAAGACGGAAAGACCCCGUGAACCUUUACUAUAGCUUGACACUGAACAUUGAGCCUUGAUGUGUAGGAUAGGUGGGAGGCUUUGAAGUGUGGACGCCAGUCUGCAUGGAGCCGACCUUGAAAUACCACCCUUUAAUGUUUGAUGUUCUAACGUUGACCCGUAAUCCGGGUUGCGGACAGUGUCUGGUGGGUAGUUUGACUGGGGCGGUCUCCUCCUAAAGAGUAACGGAGGAGCACGAAGGUUGGCUAAUCCUGGUCGGACAUCAGGAGGUUAGUGCAAUGGCAUAAGCCAGCUUGACUGCGAGCGUGACGGCGCGAGCAGGUGCGAAAGCAGGUCAUAGUGAUCCGGUGGUUCUGAAUGGAAGGGCCAUCGCUCAACGGAUAAAAGGUACUCCGGGGAUAACAGGCUGAUACCGCCCAAGAGUUCAUAUCGACGGCGGUGUUUGGCACCUCGAUGUCGGCUCAUCACAUCCUGGGGCUGAAGUAGGUCCCAAGGGUAUGGCUGUUCGCCAUUUAAAGUGGUACGCGAGCUGGGUUUAGAACGUCGUGAGACAGUUCGGUCCCUAUCUGCCGUGGGCGCUGGAGAACUGAGGGGGGCUGUUCCUAGUACGAGAGGACCGGAGUGGACGCAUCACUGGUGUUCGGGUUGUCAUGCCAAUGGCACUGCCCGGUAGCUAAAUGCGGAAGAGAUAAGUGCUGAAAGCAUCUAAGCACGAAACUUGCCCCGAGAUGAGUUCUCCCUGACUCCUUGA